rnacentral:rRNA from 1 species
GAUGAACGCUGGCGGCGUGCCUAAUACAUGCAAGUCGAGCGACCAGACGGGGAGCGUGUGCCUCUGCCGUUAGCGGCGGGCGGGGGGGUGAAACGUGGAUAAGAUUCUUAUUAGUCUGGGGUAACUUCGGGGGGCAGGAUCUGCUAAUGGCUCAUACUUUGAACGGGAUGGAUCAAUAGUGAAUGAGAGCUUUGGCGUAGCUAUUAGCUGGUUCGAGGUCGCAUUAGUUAGUUGGGAGGGUACCGGCUUACCAAGGCGACGAUCCGUAGCUGGUCUGAGAGGAUGAUCAGCCACACUGGAACUGAGACACGGUCCAGACUCCUACGGGAGGCAGCAGUGGGGAAUAUUGGACAAUGGGCGAAAGCCUGAUCCAGCCAUACCGCGUGGGUGAAGAAGGCCUUCGGGUUGUAAAGCCCUUUUGUUGGGAAAGAAAAGCAGCAGGUUAAUACCCCGCUGUUCUGACGGUACCCAAAGAAUAAGCACCGGCUAACUUCGUG